GCCAUGCAUGUCUAAGUAUAAACGCUUCUAUACUGUGAAACUGCGAAUGGCUCAUUAAAUCAGUUAUAGUUUAUUUGAUGGUUCCUUGCUACUUGGAUAACCGUAGUAAUUCUAGAGCUAAUACAUGCAGAAAGUCCCGACCUCUGGAAGGGAUGUAUUUAUUAGAUCCAAAACCGGCGCAGGUCCUCCGGGGCCUGGUUGCUUGGUGAUUCAUGAUAACUGCUCGAACCGUAUGGCCUCUUGCGCCGACGGUGCUUCAUUCAAAUUUCUGCCCUAUCAACUUUCGAUGGUACGGUAGUGGCCUACCAUGGUUGCAACGGGUGACGGAGAAUUAGGGUUCGGUUCCGGAGAGGGAGCCUGAGAAACGGCUACCACAUCCAAGGAAGGCAGCAGGCGCGCAAAUUACCCAAUCCCGACUCGGGGAGGUAGUGACAAUAAAUAACAAUGCCGGGCUAUCGUAGUCUGGCAAUUGGAAUGAGUACAAUCUAAAUCCCUUAACGAGGAACAAUUGGAGGGCAAGUCUGGUGCCAGCAGCCGCGGUAAUUCCAGCUCCAAUAGCGUAUAUUAAAGUUGUUGCAGUUAAAAAGCUCGUAGUUGGAUUUCGGGGCGGCCUGGUUGGUCCGUCGCAAGGCGAGUACUGGUCAGCCGCCCUUCCUCUCGAAAGCCCCGACUGCUCUUCACUGCAGUGGUCGGGUAGUUCGGGACGUUUACUUUGAAAAAAUUAGAGUGUUCAAGGCAGGCUUACGCCUGAAUACAUUAGCAUGGAAUAAUGGAAGAGGACCUCGGUCCUAUUUUGUUGGUUUCUGGGGCCGAAGUAAUGAUUAAGAGGGA
rnacentral:rRNA from 1 species